CACGCAGGCGGUCUGUCAAGUCGGAUGUGAAAUCCCGGGGCUCAACCCCGGAACUGCCUUUGAUACUGGAAGUCUUGAGUAUGGUAGAGGUGAGUGGAAUUCCGAGUGUAGAGGUGAAAUUCGUAGAUAUUCGGAGGAACACCAGUGGCGAAGGCGGCUCACUGGACCAUUACUGACGCUGAGGUGCGAAAGCGUGGGGAGCAAACAGGAUUAGAUACCCCCGUA
rnacentral:rRNA from 1 species